rnacentral:tRNA from 1 species
UCAAGUAGUAAUUUAAUUCUUUAAAAAUCUUUACUUUGGGAGUAAAAAAUCGAGGCCCACCUUCGCUACCUGAAC